GGCCAAAAGACGUUCACUGUGAAACUAUGAUCAACAAAGAUGUCAUGUGGAAAUUGCCCCUGGAUACCAUAUCCUGGUACCAAUCUCUAGCAUGAUUUGGAGACCAGAAUAUUCAGUCAGUCAUCUGCUACAGAGAAACUGCAGGUGCAGCUGGAGGACUGGGUGGAGGAUGUCAAAGCAGGAGAAAGCAGCUUUAUGUCAACCUCCUAAGGUCCUUGAUGUGGAAGGAACAAUCACUUACACACACACAAAUGAUCAUUGUGAUUCCCGACUACAAGGACCUGCGGUGUGGGAAAGGAAGUUCUGCAUGGAAUUUGAAAGCUGGAUUUACAAGGACUAGGAUCCUCCCUGAAGACACCGUGAAGACACCAGAAGGCACCUUGCAAGCUUCUAAAGAAUGGAAGCAACCAAGAGUUCUUACCUAGCUAUGAUGCCUAUGAACUACAUCAAUGACCAGCCCGGCCCAAUAACCCUAAGGGUACAAUAGUGGAACACAUACACUGGCAGUAACCAACAGCUCUCUCAUAAGACUUCAGACAUGUCAAGAGGAAACGCAUGUCCAGUACUAGAGACCUAGCCAACUAACCAGGGCUAGUGAAGUCAUGGAUCUUGGAGGAGGGCCUACAACCACCACUUUAUUAAACCAGCCAAGUCAAGACUGGCAGUGACAUGAUGGGCAAAUUAUUCCGUGCAACGUCAGGUGGACACUAAUGCAUGGUGGCCACAGCCAUGUUAGAAGCACAGCCGGCUAGACUCCAGUGACUGUAGCCUAGGCACCCGUGUUUAAGGAGAUCUUAAUUGUGGAUAGUUGAUGUCAUCAGUUGCACUGGCUCCUGUGGUUUAGAUGUGGUUGUAAUGUGUCCCCAAAGCUGUAUUAAAACUUAAUUCCCAUCAUGGCAAUAUUUAGACAGUAGAAACUUAAUUUAACAAUAAUGUUUAGAGGUUAGGCCUUUGGAACAUGAUAGGACUAAAUAAAGGUAUUAGGGUAAAGCCUUCUUGACUGAAA